rnacentral:rRNA from 1 species
CCUACGGGAGGCAGCAGUGGGGAAUAUUAGGACAAUGGGGGCAACCCUGAUCCAGCAAUACCGCGUGUGUGAAGAAGGCCUGAGGGUUGUAAAGCACUUUCAGUGGGGAGGAGGAUUGCCAGGUUAAGAGCUAGGUAAUUGGACGUUACCCACAGAAGAAGCACCGGCUAACUCCGUGCCAGCAGCCGCGGUAAUACGGGGGGUGCAAGCGUUAAUCGGAAUUACUGGGCGUAAAGGGUGCGUAGGUGGUUUGGUAAGUUAUCUGUGAAAUCCCCGGGCUCAACCUGGGCAGGUCAGAUAAUACUGCUAGACUCGAGUAUGGGAGAGGGUAGUGGAAUUUCCGGUGUAGCGGUGAAAUGCGUAGAGAUCGGAAGGAACACCAGUGGCGAAGGCGGCUACCUGGCCUAAUACUGACACUGAGGCACGAAAGCGUGGGGAGCAAACAGGAUUAGAUACCCUGGUAGUCCACGCUGUAAACGAUGUCAACUAGCUGUUGGAUAUAUGAAUAUAUUUAGUGGCGCAGCAAACGCGAUAAGUUGACCGCCUGGGGAGUACGGUCGCAAGAUUAAAACUCAAAUGAAUUGACGG